rnacentral:misc_RNA from 1 species
AUUUUACCACGUUUUUCUCAACCAUGACCUGAGAAGUGAUCACUGAGCGAUUAACAAGUUUGAUUUUUUACGGGUUAUGGCUGCUAGCGAGUGGACAAGGUUGGCUCUAAGAUGUUGAUGAGACCUCUCCCAUUUAGUUUGACUUGAUCCUAACUAAAAAUUGUGAAUGAUGAAUAAUAGGAGACUUUAUUAUCAAGGACAACAUGGGUACUAUAACUCACAUGUGCCAUGUAAUCCAACAGUCCGCUUCUCACAAAUGGUGCAACAGCAGUAUGCUUUUGUCCCUGCCCAACAUCAGUAUCAUCAGCCAAAUUUUCUAAGCUUUGACAAUGGCUGGCAGAGUUUUCAGGGCAAUUCUGGAUAUCCACAAGACCACAGGGAAACAAUCAGACAAGAUAUUCUGUCGCAGUUGCAUCACAAACAACCCAGUGCGAGUGUUGGUCAUCAAAACCGCAAAAGACAUGCAGAUUCCCUUCCAAGCUCUUCUAGUAGUAAGAAAUCCAAAGGUAGCCACUCAGUGGAGUCCUCUAGUGCUGUGAUAAAAGACGUACCACGUCCUCCGUCAGGGUACAACCCAAUGCACAGUAUCACAGAAGCAAUCAUCCGAUACUUCUUGGAGAAUCACCAGACGGAUAAAGCCUACAAACAGAAACUCCAACUCAGAGAUGUCUUGUUCAAGAUUUUCCAGUCCUGUAUGCCAAACUGUGGACUGUACAUAGUGGGGUCUACAAUGAGUGGCUUUGGGACAAUGAAGAGUGACAUGGACAUGUGUCUGAUGAUCACAGAAGAUGGCGUUGACCAGAAGAGAGAAGCACCAGAAAUACUGUACCUCAUCCAAAAAGCCCUGUAUAAAUGCAGUAAGUUAUGGAUAAGCUAUCUGUGUUGAAUGGAUAUAUUUUAUGAGUUUGAUUGGAUAAUUCACAAAAGUUAAGCUUAUGAUUUGAAAUGGACACCACAAUCUUUUCUUGAAGUAACAUGAGUCAUAUUUUUUAGAAUAAUGGUUUGAUAAGAAAACAUGUUUUGAUGAUAAUUCUGCAAAUUGAUUAUUAUAAAAUAAAAAGAAAAUAAACCUUUGACUUUAUCAAAUGAAAAUAAUUGACCAGGGGUACAAAAAGAAUUUUUGUACAGGAUGACAACAAAGUAAUUUUGCUUCUACGUGUAUAAUAGCCUUGUCAUUAAAGUUCAGAAGUGUAAAAAAAUUCAAACUGAAAAUUGCAGCUAUUAUUGCUUUAAUCUUAUGUGUACUGUAUGUACAAUGUACACUGUACAUAUUACUUCACCCUUUCUUUGUAGUUGCACCAUUCUUUGAAUGCUAUAUAUUAACCUGUUAACUAGAGGUUACUAGUAUAAGAGUAAUGAUAAACCCUUAUUUUUGAUACAGGUUUUGUCAGGGAGUCUACGGUGAUUAGGGCCAAAGUCCCCAUUCUACGGUUCAAUGAUCUCAUUAGUAAAGCUCAGGUGGAUCUGAAUGUCAACAAUGGUGUUGGAAUCAGAAAUACUCAUCUACUGAAGUAUUACUGCAUGACUGACUGGAGAGUGAGGCCUUUAGUUCUGUACAUUAAGAAGUGGGCCCGUUUCCAUGACAUCAAUGAUGCCAGCAAAGCCACCAUCUCCAGUUACUCUCUCUGUCUCAUGCUCAUCCACUACCUGCAGUAUGCUUGUUCCCCACCGGUGCUUCCCUCCUUACAGGAGCUUUACCCUGAACGCUUUGACGGUACACUAGACAUCAGGGAGCUGAAGUUUGACGACACGGUCUCCUACAAGAGUGACAAUGGACAGAGUGUGGGCGAACUCUUCUUGGGAUUCCUCGCCUACUACAGCAACAAAUACAGGUUUGAGGAGGAUUGCAUAUGUAUUCGAGAAGGAAGAAGAUACAGUUUGGAUGACUACAUGCGGUUCAAGAAUGAAAAUUUUCAGCUGCAGCCUCUUUGCAUAGAAGAACCGUUUGAUUUAUCAAACACUGCUCGCUCCUGCCAUGAUAAAAACAUUUUCAACAGAGUCAAGCGUGUGUUUAAAAAAAGCUACCAAGAGCUACAGAAAAAGAAGGAUGUUCGCUGCCUCUUCAACCAGCCAUUUUGAAAUUGUUUGGGAGCAGGCAAAAUGUAGGAUGGCAAAUUAAGGACUACAGCCUAUUUGCAGGGAGGAAGGGUGACUAGAGGUUAGACUCUGACCUUGAGCUUAUGCUAGUGGAAGCUUCAUGCACUGACCAGUCUCCCACUAUCAAAGCUUGUUCCAUUUUUCUGAGCAGCAUGGUAAAGCAUUUAAAUGAAGAUAAAGAGCAGAGACGGGGUUAGAACUCAUGUGAUGUACACUGCACCAGUGUGUUACUUCCAUGAAGUUGGAAAAAAAGGGGAAAUCGUGUUCUGAUGGAGCAAAGUCUAAAAGCCAUCAUGGAUGUUAAGAUAUUGACAUAUUUAGAAGUACUUAUGAACCCAAACAUUUCUAUUCUUGUGAUUGUGAAUGUGGUAUGUGAAACUAUUGAUCAUGUGAUUGAUAAUCUUGUUCAAUUCAGUACAUGUAUUUAAAUUGAGGGAUUCAAACUUUCUAUUUUCAUUUUCUAUUAUCCUCAUGAGAAAGGCAGCUUUAAUGUAUUCAGAUAGAAAUAUUCAAAACAACAUGGUGGUGCUUGAUUUUGCAUGUUUGAGUUCUGUUUGUAUGUACAGUACAUUUAUACAGUAUUGAAUAAAUAAGUGCUUUCAAUGU